UUGACAGCCCAAGAUAUUCAAAGUCUCUCUUUAUGUACAAAUCGGGUACAGCACAGGCACUGGUAAUAAAAACUGUCUCCAACAGUGCCUCAGCAAUGUCUCUCAACCCUGAUCUGCAGGAACCACCUGGAGGGCUGAAAGAACAUAUCAUCUGCAUGAUCAGUUCAAGCUUUCG
ensembl:misc_RNA